rnacentral:lncRNA from 1 species
UUACAUUCGCAUAAAAGUUGACAAUGCGAUAUGCUAUAUUAUUGGUGAAGAGUAUCACAGGUUAAAUAGUUGAUAAUUUGGUCAAGUUCUUCGAAGCAGAAAUGCAGUAGGGAAGAUAACAUGUAUGAAGUAAGACUUAUGAUGCCAAGAAGGACAACCUGUUUCUCCUGUCGGUAAGCUGUAUGGUCACUAGGGAAUUUUCUUUUAAUUGUCUAUCUAACAGAUUAUGAAUGUGACUUUGGUCUUGGUUUUGUAGCUAUGUGUUUCAUCAGCUGUUGGUGUAACUGGGCGGUCGGUUCUAUUUUGUAUGUUAGAACUGGUAAGCAGUUUCUUCCUCUUGUCUGCUUUCUUUGCAGUUUUGGUCAUUCAAUAUGCUGUAAAUAACUUUUAUUAUUAUAUCUAGUAGGUGUUGAGAAAAGCUGGAUGUGGCUAUGUUAGAGAAGUUUAUACACUGAAAGUUUGUCUAUGGCUUUGGUUCUUUGAUAUCCAUCUAGUAAUGCCAUACCUUAGCCAUAUCUUUGAUAUCCAUCUAGUUUAAACUUAAACACCAGGUUGGACAUGUCCAUCUCUUGAAAGCACAUGCAUUUUUCCCCAGUUAACUAAUUUUACUGUUUGAGGCAUUUCUAACUUCGCGUUUAGGAGUUGGCUGGCUCAUUGCCACAAAAGACUAACAGUACUUUGUACCAUUAACUAGUUGAAGUGGGAGAAAUAUACAGAAUUAUUGAUAUGAUGAAUACUGGAUACUUUUAAAAAGAUAACAUAAUACAGAGGCAUGGGUGAAACAGAUAUCUUGCCCUCUUCUGAAGUAUGAUCUUCAUCAUUAGAAUUUAUAAAGCGUGGUUUUACUGAAUAACAUUUAAGUGUAGUGGUAGACGAUGCCUGAUUUCCAUGCGUCUCAUAUUUCCUUGUUAUGAUUAUGUUACCCCAAACAUUCGGCGAUUUUCCCAG